rnacentral:rRNA from 1 species
GACGAACGCUGGCGGCGUGCCUAAUACAUGCAAGUAGAACGCACAGUUUAUACCGUAGCUUGCUACACCAUAGACUGUGAGUUGCGAACGGGUGAGUAACGCGUAGGUAACCUGCCUGGUAGCGGGGGAUAACUAUUGGAAACGAUAGCUAAUACCGCAUAAUAUUGAUUAUUGCAUGAUAAUUAAUUGAAAGGUGCAAUUGCACCACUACCAGAUGGACCUGCGUUGUAUUAGCUAGUAGGUGAGGUAACGGCUCACCUAGGCGACGAUACAUAGCCGACCUGAGAGGGUGAUCGGCCACACUGGGACUGAGACACGGCCCAGACUCCUACGGGAGGCAGCAGUAGGGAAUCUUAGGCAAUGGACGAAAGUCUGACCGAGCAACGCCGCGUGAGUGAAGAAGGUUGUCGGAUCGUAAAGCUCUGUUGUAAGAGAAGAACGGGUGUGAGAGUGGAAAGUUCACACUGUGACGGUAGCUUACCAGAAAGGGACGGCUAACUACGUG